rnacentral:rRNA from 1 species
GAUGAACGCUAGCGGCAGGCCUAACACAUGCAAGUCGAGGGGCAGCAUACAACAAGCUUGCUUGUUUGGUGGCGACCGGCGUACGGGUGCGUAACGCGUAUGCAACCUACCCUGUACUGGGGGAUAGCCCGGAGAAAUUCGGAUUAAGACCCCAUAGUAUAUAUCAUUCGCAUGUUUGAUAUAUUAAAGGUUACGGUACAGGAUGGGCAUGCGUCCUAUUAGCUUGUUGGUGAGGUAACGGCUCACCAAGGCGACGAUAGGUAGGGGGCCUGAGAGGGUGGUCCCCCACACUGGUACUGAGACACGGACCAGACUCCUACGGGAGGCAGCAGUGAGGAAUAUUGGUCAAUGGGCGCAAGCUUGAACCAGCCAUGCCGCGUGCAGGAAGAAGGUCCUAUGGAUUGUAAACUGCUUUUAUUUGGGAAUAAACCUCUUUACGUGUAGAGAGCUGAAGGUACCAAAUGAAUAAGCACCGGCUAACUCCGUGCCAGCCGCCGCCGUAAGAC